ACAGUAAUGCGUGGGAAUCUGCCUUCAGGCUCGGGAUAGCCGCGGGAAACUGCGGGUAAUACCGAAUAACGUCUCCGGACCAAAGGUGAGACUCCGCCUGAAGAUGAGCCCACGUCCUAUUAGCUAGUUGGCGGGGUAACGGCCCACCAAGGCAUCGAUGGGUAGCAGGUGUGAGAGCACGACCUGCGUCAUUGGGACUGAGAACUGCCCAGACGCCUACGGGCGGCUGCAGUCGAGGAUUUUUGGCAAUGGGCGCAAGCCUGACCAAGCGACGCCGAGUGCGGGAUGAAGGUUCUCGGAUUGUAAACCGCUUUUGACGGGGAUGAAAUGCCCGGGGGUACUCCCCUGGGUUUGACAUAACUGUAGAAUAAGCACAGGCUAAGCUCGUGCCAGCAGCCGCG
rnacentral:rRNA from 1 species